UAAAUAUUCUUAAAAAUAUCUAAUUAAACCAACCAAUAAAGCAACAAUUAAACCGCAAGUUAAAAAAA
rnacentral:sRNA from 1 species